GACGAACGCUGGCGGCGUGCUUAACACAUGCAAGUCGAACGGAAAGGCCCUGCUUUGGUGGGGUGCUCGAGGUGCGAACGGGGGAGUAACACGUGAGUAACCUGCCCUUGACUUUGGGAUAACUUCAUGAAACUGGGGCUAAUAGCGGAUAGGAUUUCCUGCUUCAUGGUGGGGGCGGGAAAGUUUCGGUGGUUGGGGAUGGACUCGCGGCUUAUCGGGUUGUUGGUGGGGUAGUGGCUGACCAAGGCUUUGCGGGGUAGCCGGGCUGAGAGGGUGACAGGACAAGCUGGGAUUGAGCUGCGGCACGGCCUCCACCCGGACGCAGCAGAGGGGAAUGUUGCACAAUGGGAUGGAGCCUGACGUAGUCCCGCAGUGUCGGGGGUGACGGCAUUGGGGUUGUAAACCGAUUUCGUCUGUCACGAAGCGAGAGUGACGGUAACGGGUAAAGAAGCACCGGCUAACUACGUG
rnacentral:rRNA from 1 species